GAUGAAGAACGUAGUGAAAUGCGAUAAGUAAUGCGAAUUGCAGAAUUUCCGUGAGUCAUCGAAUCUUUGAACGCACAUUGCGCCCAUUGGUAUUCCGGGGGGCAUGCCUGUCCGAGCGUCAUUGCUGCCCUCAAGCACGGCUUGUGUGUUGGGCCUCCGUCCUCCUCCCGGGGGACGGGCCCGAAAGGCAGCGGCGGCACCGCGUCCGGUCCUCGAGCGUAUGGGGCUUCGUCACCCGCUCUUGUAGGCCCGGCCGGCGCUUGCCGACACAUCAAUCUUUUUUCCAGGUUGACCUCGGAUCAGGUAGGGAUACCCGCUGAACUUAAGCAUAUCAAUAAGCGGAGGA
rnacentral:misc_RNA from 1 species